CAGCAGCCGCGGUAAUACGUAGGGCGCAAGCGUUAUCCGGAAUUAUUGGGCGUAAAGAGCUCGUAGGCGGUUUGUCGCGUCUGCCGUGAAAGUCCGGGGCUCAACCCCGGAUCUGCGGUGGGUACGGGCAGACUAGAGUGAUGUAGGGGAGACUGGAAUUCCUGGUGUAGCGGUGAAAUGCGCAGAUAUCAGGAGGAACACCGAUGGCGAAGGCAGGUCUCUGGGCAUUAACUGACGCUGAGGAGCGAAAGCAUGGGGAGCGAACAGGAUUAGAGACCCCCGUAGUCCCUGUCUCUUAUAC
rnacentral:rRNA from 1 species